rnacentral:lncRNA from 1 species
CAGCCUUCCGCCCAAGGACAAAUGGGGUCAGGGCAGCAGCUGUACCUGGCGAGAAUGCACUCCCUUCCUGGGGGGCCACUUUUUUCCAGGAGUGCAUGGCCCUGGGCUGGCUGCUGAGACCUGUGCCCAGCCCCUCCGUGGUGGUACUCUCGUCAGACACCAGCCUCUGCGGCACCCAGAUCAUGAUCCGCUCGAUUAACGGGCAGGAGGUAAUGGAUGGAGCCCGCCAUGCUGCUCCGGGUGCCGCUGCUGAUGCUGGGGACCGAGCCAGGAUGGAGGGAGGGGCGUGCACAGGAGAAACCUGGAACUUUCCCUGGGAAUAGACCCUGCAGGGGAAAGCCCUGUCCCAGCGCCUUCUGAAGUGGGCUGCAAGCUGCAUUCAAAGGGGCUUCUCACCCCAGACUGAGGGUGGGAGCGAGGGCUGCGAGGCUGCACCCUGGAGAUGCAGCCAGGCCAGGCACUCACUUACGCUGCCAGGCGGUUCACACUCACAGCGCGUCCUGAACCGCCUUAGAGGGGCCGUAGAGGGCGGCUCUCUCAUUCACAGGUGCUGAGUUUGCUGAGCCCCUCCGUGCUUCUUGCUUGCUCCCCGCACUCCAGGGUGGAGGUCCUGCUAUCUCCUCUCUGCAGAUGAGGAGUUCUCUCAUCCGAACCUCACGGCUCAAGGAACAGAAAGCUGGACCAACGGUGGUCAAAUACAGUGGGCGCUUAACUACCUCAUGGGAGUGAAUGGAAAGGAGUUCCCAAGGACCCCGGGUUCUAGCCCCAGGGCCCUGUGGAUGGAUCUCACGUGGAAAGGGGGCUUUGCCUCUCAAGGAUCUGGCGAUGCGGAGAGCAGCCUGGGUUAUCCUGCAGCCACGAGAAUCUAAUACAUUCAUGAAAGGAGCCUGGAGGUGGGUGGCACCGGCGUUGAGAAGGAGGUAAUGACAUCACCCAGGGCCCUGGCUCCUUUCCCUCAGUCAUCCUUGAAUGUUGGCUACUUGUUCUCUGGCUCCUGACCUCACAGUCACAAGACGGCUGCCACUGCUCCAGGCGUCCCAUCCUCACACGACAGCCUCUGAAGCAGAGAGUGAGAAAGGGCAUGGAGUGGCAUCACGGUUCAAAGCUGGCAGCCCCUGGUCCCCAGACUGCACCGGGCCAGUUCCAGCUUCUGGGGCCUGAGAGGCACGGGCCUCGGGUUCCCUGUGAGAAUUGUUCCUGGUGAUAGACCUGUGGGCUCUCUGGGGGCUGAGCGAGAGCCGUCCUAACGGGGAGAUGGCCCAUCCAGGGCCAACACGGCACCUGUGCGUUCUCCCAUCCUCCUUCCCAAGGGAGUCCUGGCCAGGCCCCUCUCCUGUGUCCGAGGAGUCUUGCCAGCCCUCAUGGUCUGUGUCACGAUCUGCAGUAGCUGUCCCAUCAGGGCUGAUCUGGAAGGAGCCUUUCCUCCACAUGGCUUUUCCCAAGUCAGCCCUCAAGUGCUGUGAGCCUGGACCGCGCCCCUGUCCUCCAGGCAGCUGCCUGCACUCCACACCCAUGCGCGUGGCAGCUCUGCGCCCAGCAGCCCUCCUGGUGUGAUUUUUAUUUAUUUACCUGAAUACUGGAACAGCUGCUUUAUUGAGAUUCAUUGGUCGCAAGGCUUAAUUAAAAUAAUGCCACGCGUCUCACUCAGCGUGGGUCACCAAAGCAAAUGUUUGUUUUGCUGCUGUCAGUUAGGGCCACGUGUGAUGAAGCGGCGGCUCCCGGCAGGGAAGGCACGUGGGCCCUGACCCCCUGCACCUCCCUGGGUUGCA